UUUGAAGAGAGAGUUCAAGAGUACGUGAAACUGCUCAGAGGUAAACAGGUGGGCCCUCGAAAUCCUGUGGUGGGAGGAUUCAGUCAAAGGGCGAGAGCCUUGCGUGUCCUAAUUCAUGAUUUGAUCCGUGACGGACUAUCAGGAUCGUUUGCUCUCUCGCACGGCGACGCAAUUCUUUCCUGCCCGAAGGACGCCGCAACCGGUUGGGAGACGGCUUGAAAGGUGGACUAAGCAUAGGUGGCCGGCUGCUGCUCUUGUGGUAGUCAGUCGGUGUCUGGGCUGUCCGUCAGUGGCACGUAUCCCGACCGUGGUGACACGAAGCCCGCUCACAUGGGCUUCUCCGUCUCCUCCUUAACUGGACGGCGGACUUUGUGACGUGGCAGGGGUUCUCCGCACCGUGGGCGCACAGAAACAUCUGUCGGCCACGCGGUCAGUAGUCCUCGAGAUGGCCACGCUUUUCCGUUGGAGGCUGACGGUUGGCGGCGAGUAGGUC
rnacentral:rRNA from 1 species